UGCACAUUCUUUGAACCCUUCAAACAAUCUGUUUGUGACUGAACUAAGCAAAUGGGUCUUCCACGAAAGAGGCCAUCUGAAGGCUGGUAGUCUUGUACACCACAGGGUUGGAGAAGCAGACGAG